rnacentral:rRNA from 1 species
AGAUCUUGGUCAGGAUGAACGCUAGCGGCAGGCUAACACAUGCAAGUCGAGGGGCAGCGGAGAGUAGCAAUACUCUGCCGGCGACCGGCGAAAGGGUGCGUAACGCGUGAGCAACUUGCCCGUAUCCGGGACAUAAGCGGUGGAAACGCCGUCUAAUUUCCCAGUAACAACAGAGGCCGCAUGACCUUUGUUUGAAAGAUCCGUCGGAUACGGAUGGGCUCGCGAGACAUUAGCUAGUCGGCGUGGUAACGGCACACCGAGGCGACGAUGUCUAGGGGUUCUGAGAGGAAGGUCCCCCACACUGGAACUGAGACACGGUCCAGACUCCUACGGGAGGCAGCAGUGAGGAAUAUUGGUCAAUGGGCGCAAGCCUGAACCAGCCAUGCCGCGUGAAGGAAUAAGGGUACCCCUAGUGGGUCGUAAACUUCUUUUGUGGUGGAGCAAUAAGGUGCACGUGUGCAUCGAUGAGAGUACAUCACGAAUAAGCAUCGGCUAACUCCGUGCCAGCCGCAGC